AAUGAACGUUGGCGGCGUGGAUUAGGCAUGCAAGUCGAGCGUGUACCCCGCAAGGGGGAAAGCGGCGAAAGGGACAGUAAUACGUAGAUACCAACCUUGGGGUCGGGGAUAGCCGCGGGA
rnacentral:rRNA from 1 species